GAGAGGGGGAUCCCCCACGCUGGUACUGAGACACGGACCAGACUCCUACGGGAGGCAGCAGUGAGGAAUAUUGGACAAUGGGCGCAAGCCUGAUCCAGCCAUGCCGCGUGCAGGAAGACUGCCCUAUGGGUUGUAAACUGCUUUUAUACAGGAAGAAACACUCCCUCGUGAGGGAGCUUGACGGUACUGUAAGAAUAAGGAUCGGCUAACUCCGUGCCAGCAGCCGCGGUAAUACGGAGGAUCCAAGCGUUAUCCGGGAAUCAUUGGGUUUAAAGGGUCCGUAGGUGGAUAAAUUAAGUCAGAGGUGAAAUCCUGCAGCUCAACUGUAGAAUUGCCUUUGAAACUGGUUAUCUUGAGUUAUUAUGAAGUAGUUAGAAUAUGUAGUGUAGCGGGUGAAAUGCAUAGAUAUUACAUAGAAUACCAAUUUGCGAAGGCAGAUUACUAAUAAUAUACUGACACUGAUGGACGAAAGCGUGGGGAGCGAACGGGAUUAGAUACCCCGGUAGUCCACGCCGU
rnacentral:rRNA from 1 species